rnacentral:lncRNA from 1 species
UCCCAUCCCACCACGAAUGGGGCAAACAAUACCCAUCUCGACGGGUUGAUUGGGCUGGGCGUAAGUCAUCGCUCCGUCUUGGGUCUCAGCCACAAUUUUCCCAUCCCACCAAACAAUCCGCAAUCUCUAUACUCUAACCCAAACGGCCAUACCCUUCAUCUCCUCCCAUAACCUUAAUCCACAUCCUGUGAUUCUCAUCGUUGGCACCACCAUUUGUUUGCAGCCUAUUCAUCUAUCGAUCACACUACACACGGUCCACAGUCAAUUCAAUCUACUCCCUUCGAUCUACAGGCGGUUCCACACCCGCAGGCCCAAACUUCAUUUCAUAAACCCAAAGGUUCAAUUCUCCAAUUCCCAAACCUAAAACUGUGAUUCUUGUGUGGUUGUUAAGUAUAAUUUACUGUGAAAUUCAUAGACAAAAGAGAAAAACAUAGAGAAUCUACUUUUUUCAUUUUUUUGGUGAGUUGUUACUUAUUCACAAUUUUCCACUGUCUACUUUAAGCUCUAAAAUAUUCAUAAUUUUUAAGAGAAUCGAUUGUGAGGUUGAGUGCAUUUUAUUAUUAUAUGAAGUUGCUUUGCACUGACGUUUUGGAAUCUUCUACAUGGUACUAUCUUUCGUUUAUACCUUUUCGUGCUUUUUUUAACAUACUUAUUGAUGUAGAUGUAUAUUCUCUCUUGGCUAUUUAAUUGAAACGAUUGAUUUACUAGAUUAAAGAUGUCUUCUGUGGUGGUGCAAGUUUGUUUGUGUUUCAAAGUGUUGAGUGUAUUUAAAUAUGUGGAUUGAAUCUUUAUAGGAAAGCAUUUGUGUGGUUAACAUGUGAUGUGG